rnacentral:rRNA from 1 species
GAUGAACGCUGGCGGCGUGCCUAAUACAUGCAAGUCGAGCGAAUGGAUUAAGAGCUUGCUCUUAUGAAGUUAGCGGCGGACGGGUGAGUAACACGUGGGUAACCUGCCCAUAAGACUGGGAUAACUCCGGGAAACCGGGGCUAAUACCGGGUAACAUUUUGAACCGCAUGGUUCGAAAUUGAAAGGCGGCUUCGGCUGUCACUUAUGGAUGGACCCGCGUCGCAUUAGCUAGUUGGUGAGGUAACGGCUCACCAAGGCAACGAUGCGUAGCCGACCUGAGGGGGGGAACGGCCACACUGGGACUGGGACACGGCCCAGACGCCUACGGGAGGCAGCAGUAGAGACUGUUCCGCAAGGGACGAAAGUCUGACGGAGCAACGCCGCGUGAGUGAUGAAGGUUUUCGGGUCGUAACACUCUGUUGUUAGGGAAGAACAAGUGCUAGUUGAAUAAGCUGGCACCUUGACGGUACCUAACCAGAAAGCCACGGCUAACUACGUGCCAGCCGCCGCCGUAA